GUUUUUAAGAGGCACUACUAUGUGUAACAUACAAAAAGUCCCAUGAUCGUAGUUAAUUUAUUUAACACAGAUACCAAAUGUCAUGUGGAAUGUAUGGAACGCAAGUACAUGGUGUAACAGCACUGCACA